rnacentral:tRNA from 1 species
GGAGAAGUAAGUUAAUUUAAAACUGUAUGGUUCAUGUUCAUAAAAUAUGCUUUUGUUUCUUCUCCU